rnacentral:rRNA from 1 species
AGCGUUGCUCGGAAUCACUGGGCGUAAAGGGCGCGUAGGCGGGAUGGCAAGUCGGUCGUGAAAUCCUUCGGCUCAACCGAAGAACGUCGGCCGAUACUGCCGUUCUUGAGGGAUGCAGAGGAGAUUGGAAUUCCCGGUGUAGCGGUGAAAUGUGUAGAGAUCGGGAGGAACACCGGUGGCGAAGGCGGGUCUCUGGGCAUCUCCUGACGCUGAGGCGCGAAAGCGUGGGGAGCAAACGGG